AACGAACGCUGGCGGCAGGCUUAACACAUGCAAGUCGAACGCCCCGCAAGGGGAGUGGCAGACGGGUGAGUAACGCGUGGGAAUCUACCCAGAUCUUCGGAACAACUGAGGGAAACUUCAGCUAAUACCGGAUACGCCCUACGGGGGAAAGAUUUAUCGGUUCUGGAUGAGCCCGCGUUGGAUUAGCUAGUUGGUGGGGUAAUGGCCUACCAAGGCGACGAUCCAUAGCUGGUCUGAGAGGAUGAUCAGCCACACUGGGACUGAGACACGGCCCAGACUCCUACGGGAGGCAGCAGUGGGGAAUAUUGGACAAUGGGCGAAAGCCUGACCCAGCCAUGCCGCGUGAGUGAUGAAGGCCUUAGGGUUGUAAAGCUCUUUCAGUGGGGAAGAUAAUGACGGUACCCACAGAAGAAGCCCCGGCUAACUUCGUGCCAGCCGCCGCCGUAACAC
rnacentral:rRNA from 1 species